AUACGGAGGGUGCGAGCGUUAAUCGGAAUUACUGGGCGUAAAGCGCGCGUAGGCGGUUCGAUAAGUCUGAUGUGAAAGCCCUGGGCUUAACCUGGGAAUGGCAUUGGAUACUGUUGAACUAGAGUGCGGGAGAGGAGAGUGGAAUUCUCGGUGUAGCGGUGAAAUGCGUAGAUAUCGGGAGGAACACCAGUGGCGAAGGCGGCUCUCUGGACUGACACUGACGCUGAGGUGCGAAAGCGUGGGUAGCAAACAGGAUUAGAUACCCGAGUAGUCC
rnacentral:rRNA from 1 species